CGAACGCUGGCGGCAGGCUUAACACAUGCAAGUCGAGCGCACUCUUCGGAGUGAGCGGCGGACGGGUGAGUAACGCGUGGGAACAUACCCUUCACUGCGGAAUAGCCUCUGGAAACGGAGAGUAAUACCGCAUACGCCCUUCGGGGGAAAGAUUUAUCGGUGAGGGAUUGGCCCGCGUUGGAUUAGGUAGUUGGUGGGGUAAUGGCCCACCAAGCCGACGAUCCAUAGCUGGUUUGAGAGGAUGAUCAGCCACACUGGGACUGAGACACGGCCCAGACUCCUACGGGAGGCAGCAGUGGGGAAUCUUAGACAAUGGGGGAAACCCUGAUCUAGCCAUGCCGCGUGUGUGAUGAAGGCCUUAGGGUCGUAAAGCACUUUCGCCUGUGAAGAUAAUGACGGUAGCAGGUAAAGAAACCCCGGCUAACUCC
rnacentral:rRNA from 1 species